UAUUGGCUUUGAACAUGGAAGAAAACAAGAUCUGGUCUCCCUUUUUCACACAGACGGUGUUGAUGAGCUGACCUAGGAGAUAACAGGACAGAUACAGAAAUGAAAGCUGAGAAGGGGAAGAUAACUAUCCCAAAAGCACCACGUUGGUGGGGAGCAGGGUUGCCAGAGAAAACACAGGACAUCCAGUGAAGUCAGGCGCCUUCUGACCCAGCAGACCCCCAUGAGCCCAGAUCCCUGGGACCUGGUGGCUGCCCUUAUCACAUUCCCAGACUCCCCAUCUUAGGACCCAAGUCUGACCCUCUUCAGGAUCAGCAGCUGUGUUACAGGAAAGGGGACCCGAU